CAUAUAACAAGUUAAGACCGCCACCACUAUAUAACAAUAAAAACAACCUAACCGCUCAAUGUUCACUGAAACCUCACCCCAUCCCUCGAGUCCAUGGCGUCUGGUCAGGGAAAGCUUGGCAUACCAAAUCUCCAAAAUGCAUCAGGCUGGUGGGCUUCCAGAAGAUGGCCAGCCUCUCAACAAAGAAGGCGCAAAGUUUAAUGAUAUCAAAAGAACCACCACCAAUAAUCCCAUUCAGAGUGUUGCUUCUACGGCUCUUUCAAACCCUUGAAUUCCUUCCAAACAGUCUCCUCUGGAAAACGCCACAGUAUUUUCCCGCCGAUAUCUUGGCAGAAUAAUGCCUCAAAUAAAACUCUUUUGAUCCGGUUGUCACAAAGAAACAACAACUUGUUGAGAAGAAAAAGAUUUGACCAUCCUCAUCCACCGCGUGAACAUACGUGUCGUUAUGUACCACCACAUCAUGUUGGAUUUUGUGGGGCAUCUUGGGCGUUAACACAGACAACAAGUCCCAAGUUCGGGUUUCAUAUCAAAAACCUCUACACAGUUUGAGGAAUCAGCAACAACAUUCCCAGUACCUUCCAAACACGUAUAUCUUCUUGCCGUCUACCAAGCUUGUCGAUGCUCGGCUUCAAGCCAUCUUCAUGGGGGUAAGGCGGUGCAUUGUGUGUUGUAUACAGUCGAAUAAAGGACUUCCGAU